rnacentral:ncRNA from 2 species
AAGGUCACAAUCAACAUUCAUUGCUGUCGGUGGGUUUAACUAUGCGGACAAGCUCACUGAACAAUGAAUGCAACUGUGGCCCCACU